rnacentral:rRNA from 1 species
GUCGUAACAAGGUUUCCGUAGGUGAACCUGCGGAAGGAUCAUUAAAAAUGAAGCCGGGAAACCGGUCCUUCUAACCCUUGAUUAUUUUCACUUGUUGCUUUAGUGGGCCGCGAGCACUAACGUGCGAGCACCGGCUUUCGGGCUGGGGAGCGCCCACUAGAGGACCACAACUCUGUAAUUUAUGCCGUCUGAGUACUAUAAAAUAGUUAAAGAACUUUCAACAACGGAUCCCUUGGUUCUGGCAUCGAUGAAGAACGCAGCGAAAUGCGAUAAGUAAUGUGAAUUGCAGAAUUCAGUGAAUCAUCGAAUCUUUGAACGCACAUUGCGCCCUCUGGUAUUCCGGAGGGCAUGCCUGUUCGAGCGUUAUAAUGACCAACUCACCGUAAUGGUGGUCUUGGGGCUGGCCUUCAGGCCUCCCUUAAAACUAGUGGCGGUGCCGUCGAGCUCUAAGCGUAGUAAUUUUCUCGCUACAGGGCCUCGGUGGUUACUUGCCAGAACCCCAAAUUUUACAAGGUUAACCUCGGAUCAGGUAGGGAUACCCGCUGAACUUAAGCAUAUCAAUAAGCGGAGGAAAAGAAACCAACAGGGAUUACCUCAGUAACGGCGAGUGAAGCGGUAACAGCUCAAAUUUGAAAUCUGGCUCUUUUAGGGUCCGAGUUGUAAUUUGUAGAAGAUGCUUUGAGCAUUGCUCCGGUCUAAGUUCCUUGGAACAGGACGUCAUAGAGGGUGAGAAUCCCGUAUGUGACUGGUGGCAUUUGUUCGUGUAAAGCUCUUUCGACGAGUCGAGUUGUUUGGGAAUGCAGCUCAAAAUGGGUGGUAUAUUUCAUCUAAAGCUAAAUAUUGGCCAGAGACCGAUAGCGCACAAGUAGAGUGAUCGAAAGAUGAAAAGCACUUUGGAAAGAGAGUUAAACAGUACGUGAAAUUGUUGAAAGGGAAGCGCUUGCAACCAGACUUGCGGGUCGUUGAUCAUCCGGGGUUCUCCCCGGUGCACUCGGCGGCCCUCAGGCCAGCAUCGGUUUGGGUGGUGGGAUAAAGGCCUUAGGAAUGUAGCUUCUCUCGGGGAGUGUUAUAGCCUAAGGUGCAAUGCCGCCUAUCCGGACCGAGGACCGCGCUUCGGCUAGGAUGCUGGCGUAAUGGUUGUAAGCGACC